rnacentral:rRNA from 1 species
CAGCCGCCGCGGUAAUACGUAGGGUGCAAGCGUUAAUCGGAACUACUGGGCGUAAAGCGUGCGCAGGCGGUUUGUUAAGACAGAUGUGAAAUCCCCGGGCUCAACCUGGGAACUGCAUUUGUGACUGGCAAGCUAGAGUGUGGCAGAGGGGGGUGGAAUUCCGCGUGUAGCAGUGAAAUGCGCAGAUAUGCGGAGGAACACCGAUGGCGAAGGCAGCCCCCUGGGCCAACACUGACGCUCAUACACGAAAGCGUGGGGAGCAAACAGGAUUAGAUACCCCGGUAGUCCCUGUCUCUUAUAC